GCUCGCUGUCUGACGAUUUCGCUAAAUUGGCGUCGUUUAUGUCGAAUUUAUGCAGAUUUAGCUGGCAACAGCAUGUCAGUUGUCAGUUACGGUUUCUGGAGGAAUAGCUUCCAACAGCUCUUUUUCGAAAUGGUUUACAAUGUAUUACUGCAUUCCUAUGUAAGAAUUUCUCUACUCUAGCCAUCUACAGUCCAAAAGGUACUGUUAUUGCAACAAUACCAGAUUCCGGGUCCCUACUUUCUGGGAAACGGAAGUUCAGCGGUUCAGUUAUGAAAGGUUUCAUGUUUUUUCCUGAACGAGAGACUAGCCCACGACUGUUCUAUACCUAUUCAUGCCUGUUCGUACAUAGUUCGUUCUGAAGAGGGCUACAUCGGAAGCAGUCUGGAUAGUUCAUCUGUGCUAAUGUCUACCUACUUGGCGCGAGCUGAGCAUUAUUUAACAAGCAUUGAGAAAUGCAUAAUUCCAAUAAAUUGUAAUAAUUGCGAGUUUAUUGCAAAUGGCGCCCAACG